UGUUUCGGCUAGGGGGCCAUCCCGGCUUACCAACCCGAUGCAAACUGCGAAUACCGGAGAAUGUUAUCACGGGAGACACACGGCGGGUGCUAACGUCCGUCGUGAAGAGGGAAACAACCCAGACCGCCAGCUAAGGUCCCAAAGUCAUGGUUAAGUGGGAAACGAUGUGGGAAGGCCCAGACAGCCAGGAUGUUGGCUUAGAAGCAGCCAUCAUUUAAAGAAAGCGUAAUAGCUCACUGGUCGAGUCGGCCUGCGCGGAAGAUGUAACGGGGCUAAACCAUGCACCGAAGCUGCGGCAGCGACGCUGAUGCGUUGUUGGGUAGGGGAGCGUUCUGUAAGCCUGCGAAGGUGUGUCGUGAGGC
rnacentral:rRNA from 1 species